rnacentral:lncRNA from 1 species
AAGCAGAUCGGAUGAACAAAUCCUGGGAAAAGAAAUUCAUUAUUCUCAGAAAUAGCUUUCAUGUGCUCAAGGAUGAGAUGUUCACCAGGCACACGCUGUUCCGCCAAUUUGCGAUGCUUGCUGAC